AUCUCUGCGUUGUGUUUCACAGAGAUGGUGAAAAGUCGGAUGCAGGUACAGAAACCAAUAUUAAUCUCUAUAUGCAACUUUACUACCAUUUUGUUGGUACAGAUCAAUCCCAGGAUAUUUUGUGUUGGGGAGAUAAACAACAUCCUACCUACGUAGUCGGUGCCACUGUCACAGACGAUGGCAAGGUGCCUGCCUUCUCUUUUACAAUUGGAAUGUUUUGUUCUAUAUGCAAGUACUAUUAAUAAUUGAAGUGUGGAUAGCCGAAAUUAACAUUGUAUGAUACGGUUUGCAGUACCUUCUCCUCUACAUCACAGAUGGGGCUGAUACAACCAACAAAGUAUAUUACUGUGAUAUCUUGGGGGGACUAGAAAGUUUUAAGGGAGGAAACAGUUUGCUCACUUUCACUAAGCUUGUCGAUACCUUCGAGGCCAACUAUAACGCCAU
rnacentral:lncRNA from 1 species